rnacentral:lncRNA from 1 species
UUGAAUAUGUGAUGAGCUAGCAUAUGUGAUGAAUAUGUGAUAAGCUAGCAUAUGUGAUGAAUAUGUGAUGAGCUAGCAUAUGUGAUGAGAUAUGCGAUAAUCUAGCAUAUGUGAUGAAAUAUGUGAUGAACUAGUAUAUGUGAUGAGAUAUGGCUAAGUCAUACAGGUCACCAUAGGUGACUCCGACUUACGUACUAGUAUGAGUUAUUAAUCACAUGAUUA